GCCUUCGUGGUGUAGUGGUCUGCAUGAUCGACGCGUAACCGAGAGGUCCGUGGUUCGAUUCCCGGCGAAGGCG
rfam:Stegodyphus mimosarum contig113478, whole genome shotgun sequence.